rnacentral:lncRNA from 10 species
ACUUGGUUCUUGGGACACUGUAUAGCAGUGAGCUGCCUUGCCUCUGCCACCUGUCGGUGGGAUGGGGCUGCUGGUGCCUGGGGUCCCCUGUGCUCCCCCGGAACCGAAAGGCUGUUCCCUAGUCCCCGCCGGCAAAGAGCCCACCUUUGGGGGACCGAAGUGGGGAAGCUGAUUGCCCCAAGAGAGGCCUGAUUCUUGUUCUCACCAGGAGAUAAUGGUCCUUGUGGUGAGGGGUCACUUUCCCCCCUUUAUCCAGUCCAGGUGGAGGGCCGGCCCACACUGCGGGAAUCCGAAAGAGGGGCUUCCCUAUGGGCUGUCUGGGGACCCCGGGCUGGGCGCGAAGAGAGGACCGGCUUGGCGGCUCGGUGCUGCCCCCUGGAGGUUCCCUCUCCACUCCCAGCCCCGGACUCCGGCCGCGCGGGCUCUUCCGCCGCCUCCUCGCUCCUCCUCCCGGAUGCGGCGCUGGGCGCGGAGCCAGGCCGGGGGAGCCUUCGACGCAGUGAGCACGAACUGAGCAGGCGCUGCAGCCCGGGCUCCCCCUGCAGUCCCUGGGGAGCCGUCACUGCCGAGGCGCCCAGACUCCGGGAUAACACUCCUCACCCCGAGCCUGGCCAAGGCGAGGGGGAGAAGGAAGCAGGGGGUGGGUGGUGGCGAGGGAGAACGAUUCCCGCAGGUCUCCCUGGGGCCGAACGCGAACAGGGAAGCCCUCCCCGCCCCCACGACGCAGUCAGUUGCUCACCCCAAAGGGAACAGGGAUUCCGGGAAGGGAAGGCUCCUCCUGCUCUAGCUCUGAAUCCAGAGGAGGUGCUGUUUUUUCUGGAUUUAAAAAGAAAGCAGAAAGAGAAUGUGGGGAAGGAGGGUGCUUGACGACACCGAGAGGGAAGGGAGGAGGUGAGGGCCUCUGUGAACCCCAACAGCCUCUGGAGGUCGGGGUCAGGGGGAUUAGGUGGGGGAGGGUGUAACUUUCUUGGACUUAAUCCCUCUGUGGCUGUCCCCCCUCCAAACAUGUUUUCUUAUAAAAACCAACUUAAUGAACCAGGACUCCCUCGUCUCGGAGCCUGCCGUCUCAAGUCCGCUGGGGAGGUGGGGGGCUCACUCCCACUGUCUACCGAGUUGUCCAUUGGGGCAGGAGUGAUGCGCCUCUCAGAGGACUCCUGCCGCAAGGGCAGGAAGGCCAGGCUGUUGCAGCGCAGAUGGCCUUGUGUCUGAAUGUCCAUUUUGCCACUCCCUGGUAGGGUACCUUAGCCAAAUUUUUUUUUUAAUGUUUUUAUUCUUUCUGAGACGGGGUCUCACGCUGGCACCCAGGUUGGAGUGCAGUGGCGCGAGCUCACUGCAACCUCCGCCUCCCAGGCUCAAGUGAUCCUCCAGCCUCCUCCUCUCGAGUAGCUUGGACUACAGGUGCCUGCCACCACGCCUGGCUUUUACUUUUUUUUUUUUUUUUUUUUUUUGUAUUUUCGUAGAGAGGGGUUUCGCUGUGUUGCCCAGGCUGGUCUUGAACUCUUGAGCUCAAGCGAUUCACCCACUUCGGCCUCCCAAAGUGCUGGCAUUCCAGGUGUGAGCCACAGCACCCAGCCAGCCAAGCUUUUUG